rnacentral:rRNA from 1 species
UACGUAGGGGGCGAGCGUUAUCCGGAAUUACUGGGCGUAAAGCGCACGCAGGCGGUCCGCCAAGUUUGGAGUGACAGUUGUCGGCUCAACCGACAAAGGACUUCAAAAACUGGUGAACUUGAGGACGAGAGAGGAACAUGGAACUCCAGGUGUAGUAGUGAAAUGUGUAGAUAUCUGGAAGAACACCAAUGGCGAAGGCAAUGUUCUGGCUCGUUUCUGACGCUCAGGUGCGAAAGCCAGGGGAGCGAACGGG